rnacentral:lncRNA from 1 species
ACUACCCAGAUCAACACUAACCACACCCAAAUAAACACAUACAACAUUCUACCCUAAACUACCCCAUAUAACCACUAACCUACCCUCAUAUCAUAACACUAAUACAGACAUGUCUACCACUAACCUACCCUCAUAUCAUAACACUACAUACAGACAUGUCUAACACUAACCUACCCUCAUAUCAUAACACUAACCUACCCUCAUAUCAUAAACACUUAACCUACCCUCAUAUCAUAACACUACAUACAACGAUGUCUACCACUAACCAAAGUGAGACUUGGGCAUCUGAAUAUGUAUAAGUUAAUUUACCAGAUCCGUUGGUGAUGUGUGAUGUGAUAGUGAGUGAAGGUGGUUGUGGGUGGGUCUGGUGGUGCUGUUGUUGUUGUUGUUGUGGUGUUAGUUGGUUUCACUGAAAACAUGGACAUGAGUAUGAACAUGUUUUAAGAAGGUGAGGAGGGAGGAUGGAGGGAGGGUCACAGGGACAUUUAGGGUGUUUUCUCUUGUUCCUGUUGGGUGGUGUUUA